UCAUUUUUUAGAUAUGCAAACAUUUUUAUAAUUCUCUGCAGUUCAUACCACCAGAAGAACAUCAAAAGUAUGCAACAAUGAAUUUAUCUGGACAGUCUGAGGCCCAUUCAAGUGGGAUGGUGGAAAAGAGUUUGAAUCACUUCACUGAGGAAGAAAUGAAUGUGCCCUGAGCAUCCAGGUAACUACGGAGAGUCAGGAAGGAGAGUUUGAUGAAGAUAAUUUUCACCCAAGUCAGGUCCAGGAGUGUCUUGUAAACUGGAGAUCCCUGGGAGCAGUUAAGAAGAGUAAGCUGAGGCUGGAGGUAGGAAGAACGAUUCAGCUGGUAAGGCUCUUGCCACAAUUGCCUGAGAUCUUGUG
rnacentral:lncRNA from 1 species